rnacentral:rRNA from 1 species
GACAGAGGGUGCAAACGUUGUUCGGAAUUACUGGGCGUAAAGCGUGUGUAGGCGGUUCGCUAAGUCGGGUGUGAAAGCCCUGGGCUCAACCCAGGAAGUGCACUCGAAACUGGCAGGCUAGAGUAUCGGAGAGGUUGGUGGAAUUCUCGGUGUAGAGGUGAAAUUCGUAGAUAUCGAGAGGAACACCGGUGGCGAAGGCGGCCAACUGGACGAAUACUGACGCUGAGACACGAAAGCGUGGGGAGCAAACAGG